rnacentral:rRNA from 1 species
AGGAUGAACGCUGGCGGUCUGCUUAACACAUGCAAGUCGAACGGAGUAGCAAUACUUAGUGGCGGACGGGUGAGUAACGCGUGAGAAUCUACCUUCAGGACGGAGACAACAGUUGGAAACGACUGCUAACCCCCGAUGUACUGAAAAGGCAAAUAUUUAUAGCCUGAAGAAGAGCUCGCGUCCGAUUAGCUAGUUGGAGAGGUAAAAGCUCACCAAGGCGACGAUCGGUAGCUGGUCUGAGAGGACGAUCAGCCACACUGGGACUGAGACACGGCCCAGACUCCUACGGGAGGCAGCAGUGGGGAAUUUUCCGCAAUGGGCGAAAGCCUGACGGAGCAAGACCGCGUGGGGGAAGAAGGCUCGUUGGGUUGUAAACCCCUUUUCUCUGGGAAGAACACAAUGACGGUACCAGAGGAAUCAGCAUCGGCUAACUCCGUGCCAGCAGCCGC